UUCUCUGAUCAACUCCAAGCAAUAACCGGUUUGCUCCGGGAAAUCACAAAUCUGAUGAAGAUUUCCCUGUUCAAAUAAAUCCUGAAAACCCGGCACACAACUAAUGAUACUGGCCACCCCAACAUCUCGCUCACCAAUACAGUGUUUCGACGAGUACAUCGACCGUCGAUUAGAUGGAACAUCCUGUAGACUGUGACGUGGUGGCUCAGAGCCAGGUUCUCGAAUUUCAACACCACCAGACUUGCGACGACCGGAACGCUCAGUCGCCUUUCCUUUGCCUUUAUCCACGGCUUUUCCUUUUCCCUUGCCUUUCCCAGCGUCGCACUCGUGUUGUCACACAGAAUAGUCAGA
rnacentral:lncRNA from 1 species